UUUCGUGAUGAUAAAACUUUCAGACCUGUUCUGAAGGCGGCUUCGGUCGAUCUUUUGAGGACAACCUAUAUUGCCUUUUUUAUCUGAUC
rnacentral:snoRNA from 1 species